rnacentral:rRNA from 1 species
CUCGUAGGCGGCUUGUCACGUCGGUUGUGAAAGCCCGGGGCUUAACCCCGGGUCUGCAGUCGAUACGGGCUAGCUAGAGUGUGGUAGGGGAGAUCGGAAUUCCUGGUGUAGCGGUGAAAUGCGCAGAUAUCAGGAGGAACACCGGUGGCGAAGGCGGAUCUCUGGGCCAUUACUGACGCUGAGGAGCGAAAGCGUGGGGAGCGAACA